AUAUAUCUAUUUUAUUUAAACUGAAGUAUAAAAUAUUAUUUUCCUAUUUUAAGUGGUUUCUUAAAGAUUUUCAUUCAUUUUUAACCAAUUCGGACCAUUUCAUUUAUUACAAUUUCUAAUUAAUUCGACAUCAUUUAUUACAAAGUACUAAACAUAACUUACCUAUUUUAAAAUGUUUUAUUAUAUCUUCUUUUUUCACCUUUCGUAACUAUUUCAUUAAUUGUAUUUACUAUAAUAAUUCACAUCAUUUAUUUUACAUGUUAACCAUAAUAGUUUUAUAGGUUUGAAUGAAAUUUUUUACUCGUGACAAAAAUUCAAGCAGGUUAACGAAUCAUUUUUAUUUGUUCACUGAACCAGUUAUAUGUGCAUCCAAGUACACAUUAAUUCGAGUAUGGAUAGUUUUUUGAUAUCGAGUUUUUAUGGGUCUUAAAAUUAAGCUCCAUUCGAAUAUUAUAAAUUUUUGAAUGGGGUUCGAAUCGAAAAUAUCUAAAUAAUUUGCAUGUUUAAAAAUGUAAUUAAAUAAUUUAUAUAAAAAAAUUAAAACAUGUGCGGGCGCGCAGGUCAAACUCUAAUAUUACUUAAGUUUCUUACACAUUUUCAUGUAGGAUCUUCUCUGCAACGUAAGGUGCAUACAGUUUGGCCUCUUGUAUGUUCAAGGACAUGUAGAGGAUAGAACAAUGAUGUCGUCAAUAGUUUUGAUGCUCGGAAGUAAAGCAGCAUUGAUUACUCACCCUAAGCAGCAAGGAUAUUGUCUCGGCAGCGGAACUUCUCUUGAUACUUAUUCUUCUAUUUGGAGUAAACGGCAUGACGAUGAAUCUUUCACAUUGAACCAAAUCACCAUGUCGACUCUCGGUGAUAUGAUAAUAUAUAUUCAUCAUCUGAUACUCCCUCGUUCUGGGUUCGUUAUUUCAAAUUAAUUCACUUUCAGCAAUAUUAUAAACCAUCUCAACACUAGAAACUUCCUCUACCUAAAUAUUAUGUUUUUAUUAUGUUUUUGUAAGGUCAAGAACUAGGAAACCCCAAACAUUAUUCCCAUAACAUUUAGUUUUAAGUCCGUAUAAAGCAAUAAUAUCCAAAAGUACAAGAAACUAACAAAAGCAUCAGUAACGGAAAAUAAAUAAAAGCCGAGGAGAGACAUAAAAAGCUUAUGUUUAGUUGAUGAUGGAUCCAUAAUGACCCAUGUUUCCUCUUUUCAUAACACCGCCAAUAUAUCACAGACAAUGCAAUUAUGCAAAUUAUAGGAAUUGCCCAUCUAUUCACCCAAAAAAAAACAUAAUUAGAUAAGCACAGAGGUUGAAAGAAGUUUAGUCAGGACCAGUGGCGGAACCAGACCACACGUCUAGGUGGGUUAAAUUUUCAUUAUUACCAUAUAUUAUAUGGGUCAAUAAGCUAAAUAUUACAUUUUCCGGUUUUUGUGCUUAAAUAUAAGUAAGAAAUAUUUCAACAUAAAAUUCAUCAGGGUCAAGUGACCCACGUCCCAAAGAGUUGGCUCCGCCACUGGUCAGGACUUGUCUUACCUAUCCAAGUCGAGAACAGGAUUAUACACAACAGUUUCCCAAGUCCCAACGAUGAAAUGCCAGAAGACUGGGUUUAGAAAAGAGAUUCUACUGUCCAGAACAUCCUUGUGUAUGUAUCCAAGAAUAUAAAGAGUAUCCAUGCGCCGCCAUUUUUAACAAAAUGAACUUUAUAAUGAACCGUCCCACCACUACCAUUACUAGAGAGAGCACAACCAGCCAGUUGAACAGCCUGUUAUUGUAUUCUUUGAUGAACAAUGACUGUGCCUUCCCCAUCAUCUGCACACAAGCUGUUCUUUCCAAAUCUGAUUUUGGUGUGUGUAUAUUAUUACCUUGGUUAACCUUUGCUCAUAGUUUUGUUUCGAUGGACCGCCACAUUGUUUUUCAGAACUUUGGUUGCAGUACAUGAAACCUGCAUUGAAUUUAGCCAUGGAAGGGAGUCGGAGAGCUUGUAAGUGGUCCAUGUCGUCUUCACACUUUGUAUAUUGUGCCUCAUAGAGCUUUGUCUAUUGGUUGUUUUUAUGCAUAUAUCGAGAAAUCUAAAAUUUUUGAAAAAGAGUUUUGGUCAAAUUAGAUCCUUUUAUAUCGGAAUUUUAGAAGAUACAUAGCUUAAAUUAGAUAUGUUUCAGUUUUUUAACAUCUAUAAAUGUACUUCUAUUUCUUUGUAAUUUUAAAACACAUCUAGUUCAUUAUCUAAGAUGAAAAAUGUUUUUCAACCUUUGCUUAUUGGUCUCUUUAUGGUCACAGUUCUUAUGUUCAGUUGGUAUUUAUAUUUAUAAUUUUAUUAUUAUAUUCAAUAAUCAUUUAAAAUUAAAGUUAUUCUGACAUCAUAUUAUUUUAUGUACUGAUAUAAUUUUUAUAUUGAAUGCUACAAUUGGGUUUAGAAAUUUUUUCCAGAAUAAUCAAUGAUUAAGAAAGAAGAUGUUCAUACUUUAAGUUUUUUUCCCCUAUAAAUAUGCAAUAUGUUUUUCCAAAAACAUUAAUUUCUAUUAAAUAUGAAAACUAAAGUUUUGUUUUAACUAUCUAUAUAUAAUAGCAAACCAAAUUUUGUUCUCCUGUGACAUCAUCUUUUUUAUAGGAAAAAAAAAGACCGAUCCAAUGGUCAGAUUUUCUUUUCUUUAAUGAUCUAAUGGACAUAAAUCACUUUCGUUGAUGUCAUCAAAAAAUUAUAUUUGGUAACCUUUUAUUGAUCAGUUAUUUUUUAAACAAGACAACCUUUAAAAGCCAUACCUUUUCAUUAUCUAAACAACACAUCUUUUGACAAUUAUACCUUUAAUAUUUUUUUGAAAAAUUAUAUUUCUAAACAACACAUCCCUUGAUAAACAUACCUUUUCAUUAUUUAAACAAUACAUACCUCUAGAGUAGGAUUCUAUGUACCCUUCCAUGAUCUAUAUAUUGAAGUUUUACAGCAGAAUUAUUUUACCCUUUCAUGAUCUUUUACAUGUCUUUUACAGCAGAAUUAUUUUUACAUCGUGUUACUCAUUUUUUUCAAAUUUUUAAUUUCUGUUAAGGUAUGUUUUUGGUAUCUUCUUCUAGACUUAUUGAUUUAUGUUGACGACCGAAUAAUGAUGGUUGGAUUUUUAGUGGAUAUGUAUAUAUAGAAUAUAGGUCACAUGUUACAUGUAAGAGGGUAUUUUUGAAAAAUGAUGCAUUGUCGAAGAAGGACACAUCCUUUGGUAUCAUAACCAAUUUAGAUUUGUUUAAUUCACAGAAGUAAGUUAUGAACAUAUACGGUAUUAUCCUUUUUGAAGAGUGUUCAUAAUUUGUUUUCAUGAUACGGUAACUGAAAGAAAUUAUUAGAUUGAAGUGCCCUAAUGAUCUGCCAUUUCUUAAGGAAAUAAAAAGAUUAUUGUUGCAUGCAUAAGGGUGUGUUCAUGAUCUAUGCGCAUAUAUAUGGCAAUGAUAAACGUAGAAUACAAUAAUUAUUUAUGUUGGAUUAGAUUACAUAACAAACAUUGUUUACGUAAGAUAUUUGCUGGAACAAUUAGUUAAAACAAUUCUAUUCUUUUUCUUGUCGAGCAAUUCUAGACUGUUGUUUGUUCGUUGUUUUUUCUUUUCGACAAGAUGAAAAAUUAAUAUUGUUCAUGUGAUGAAAAGUCACCAAUGAAUUUAACAUUUUUUACCAAAAAAAAAGUCACCAAUGAGUGGUUUGCAUGAAAACAAUUUUCUGAAAAACUUUUGUAACGGCUAUCAGUAUAUUGGUGAAAAGUCACAAUUAAUAUUAUGGAAAGUUCAUGUCCAUAUUUUCUUUUAUGUAAAGUCACCAUUCGAAAUAUUCAAAAGUGACAGAUAAAAGAAUGAUCAUAUAACAAAUUUGGAAAUAAAUCUUAUUCGAAGUAACGGUUAUUGACGAUUCAUUGAGCGAUUGUCACCACCACCAGUUUCUCGUGUGAUCUCCGGCCGGCGUCGGCUCCUACGUUGGCUUUACUUUUCAUCUCUUUUGUUUGUUUGUAUAUAGUCUUUGUUUUCUAAUAAAUCUGAGCAAUGAAUUUGAGAUUUCUUUCACAAUUUCUCGUUCUUUGUCUCUCUCUCUUUAUGAGAGUCUCUCUCCGACCUUAUUUCGGCAAGGUUCCAUGAUGUAUUGCGUCGGUUUCACUCCGCUGAUAUGCUCUGCACGCAGCCGCGGUUGUUUCCAUUUUGAAACUUUUCAAUCUCAACACCCACAGUUAUGUCGGGAUUGUGAUUUACAUCUCCCAAAUUUGAGAUCUGGUUUUCAUCCAUGGGUUUGGGAUCCGGGAAUAUUUGGUUUUGAUGUUAGAGAUCGUGAAGUGGAAUGGAUGAAAGAGGUGCGUUGUUUCGUUGGAAUCCAUGGAAGAGUGCAAGUCUAUUUCGGAGUACCUCGGAUAAAGGACAUGCGUAACAUGGAUGACAAUACCAAAAAUCAUGAGCCUUGGCCCUGUUUUAUGUUUUCACGUGGACGACAAGAUUAUGCAACUGCAAGCCGCUUUUGAAAGGAUUAUUUCAUUGGAAAUGUUCUAUGAUGGUGUUUAUUAUCUUUGGAAACAAUUAUGAGAGAGAGAAAAUUGAAGAGACAGCAAGUCAGUCUACGACAACUUGGAAUCAAAUUGUCAAUCCACUAAAAAUGGUGAGGCUAUUGAAGAGUAAGUGGAAGUCAUCAAAGAUCAAAAGAAGAAGGAUGAUGUUGCCAAAGGUAUUCACAAUUUAUAUUUUGAUACAAUAUAUUUGGUAUCAAAAUAUUUAGCGGAACUCUUGUAGAAGAAGGCAAUACAUAGAAGAAGAUGUACUCUCUUUCUUGUAUGGCGAUAUCCAUACAAUCGUUGACAAUUGGCCUUGUGAAAUUUUAUUUCUUACGGUUGAAUCAAUAAAUUGGAUUAUAAACCGAAGAAUAUAUAUAGAUCUAAAUUGUAGCAAGACCAGUGUAAUACAACAAAGAGAAAUGGUGUUCAUAAUGGGACAAAGAAUCAGAGAUCGUAAAUGUAGUUGGAUGUUCUCAGCAUUUUACUUUUGUAAUUUGUUGUUUUUCAUAAAUAUGUAUGUAUUUGUGAAUAUGUUUAUUAUCUGAUUAAUAAAUUUAUGUUGCUAAAAAAAUAAAAAUAAAAAUAAAAAUAAAAAAAGAAUGAACAUAUAAUAUUAGUUUUUAGUUAUUUGAUAAACUGUCAUGGUUUAUGAAAAGAUUUAAAUGAUUAAAUAAUAAUUAAUUAUAAGGUUAAAGUGUUCAAUAAAGUUUCAUGAACACAUAGUCGUAUAAUAUUUUAUUUAUUAAAAUAUUAUUAAUAAAUAUGAAUUUAAUUUUGAAGAAUGCCUUUUUUUUUUAAAAAAAAGUUAAUUUAAAAUAUAUUGUAAACAACAAAUAUUUAGUCAAUCAAUCUUUUUCAGUACUUUCGACAAACCAUACUAAAUCAUUAUAAUCACCACAUCUCAUUAGAUGUGUUUUUGCUUAUUAUUUAUCUGAUUAUUGUCUCAUUAUUAAGUAGAAAAAUUUAAUGUCAUCAUUUUCUAUAUAAAAUUUUUGAAGGACAAUUCUCUCAAAUAGCAUUUUAAAGUUUUUGUCAUCAAAAUAGCCCUAAAAAUAUUAAAAAUCAUCAAAAUAAUCUUAUUUACCACCCUAUGUUUUUUUUGAAACACACAACCCUAUAUUUUUAAUCUUAAUAAAUAUUAACUAAAUUAUGAUUUAUACCUUUCUUUGGUUUUAAAAAUUUAAAAUAUCUUUGUCUUCUUGAAUCUACCCCAAUAAUAAUGAUUAAAUAUUAGAACUUUUCUGCUUUAUUUUAAUUUUCUUGUAACGAAUACCAAAAACAUAAAGAAAAAUAAUAUGAAAACCCUUUGAAAAACAAUAUUAUAACUAUUACACUUUGCUGAAAUAAUUAACUGAAAAAAGUAAAAAUAACAAAGUUUAACAAACUAUUAUGUCCGGAUUUGGAACGAUUCAUUUAAGAUUCAGAUCAGUUCGAGCCUAUAGUAAAAUACCGGUAAAAUAUCUAUAAUUUAUGUGUAUCAUGUCAAGGUAUUUAAGACCAGAAAAAGAUUCAAGGUACCCAAACUUCAUCAAAAUUUAGCCAAAACUCAUCAUAUAUUUAAAAUUUUGCAAAAUGACCAAAAACAAUUUAUUAAAAAUUGAAAUUAAAACUUUUCUAACUCUAAAUUUUACACUUCAGAUUUUCUAUUACUUGAAAAUGUUAUUAAAAUAAUAUUAAAUAUGAUGAAAAAAGAUUCUAAAUUAGAAAAUAAUUAUUUUAAUUUCAGUGACCAAAUUUAUAACAAAUCAAUAGUUUCUUUUAGACACUGCAUUAAAAAAAGUACUUCAUCGUAUUUCAUGUAUUGAAAAUUUGCAUUUUUAUGUAUAUCAUUUUCUUUUUAAAUAAUUAUAUAUAUAAUUAUUAGUUUAAAUUAUAUUUAAAAUUUAAUAUUGUUUUCCCCCGCAAACUGCAGGGGUCCAAACCCUAGUUAUAAUAACAGGAGCAAUGACGAUUGCUCAAAAAGGAGGACCACCACCUCCUUGUGCACUCAUAUACAGGCCGAAAAAUGGAAAAUGUAAUAGGGACAUUUGUCAAGCUGAAUGUACCAGAGAAAGGAAUGGAACUGGUACAUGCAUGGGCCCGCAACUGGCGGAUUGCGCAUGCAUAUAUCAAAGACAUAAAAAUAAUAAGUGUUUACCUUGAUUUUUUUUAUCUACAUUGGAACUCAAAUAAUAUUUAUAAUAAUACACGCCUUUAUCAGAGAAAAAAUAAUAAUAUUAUUAAUUGUUAUUAGUGUUUGUGGCAUAAUAAAUUGUAUUAUGUUACCAAAUAUAAAUAUAAAUAACAAAGAUUAAUAUGUCGUUCGUCUUUUAACUUUUUUUUCUUAAAUUGUAUUAUGUUACCAAAUAUAAAUAUAAAUAACAAAGAUUAAUAUGUCGUUCGUCUUUUAACUUUUUUUUCUUCGGUAGCGUGAAUUAACAAAUAUUAUAUUAUAAUUAGUACUCAUUUCAUAUAAAUUUGAAAGAAAAAAUAAUAUUUUUUUUAAUUUUUACCGUGUAGGAAUCUCACCGAGAAAAAUGAUUUUAUUAUGUUUUUUAAAAUAAAAAUAUUUUAUAUUUUAGUUAGUGAAGGUUUAAACUUAAAAGUACCGGUGAAUAUCCAACACGAAACUAUUUAAAUCCCAAUGGAAGUACACAAUUAUAUUUCAUUGUAAGACGAAUAAAGUUUUGAGAAAUUUCUUGAAAUACGCUAAGUUGGAUACAAAUUAAUCAAAAAUACAAUUUAUCGAAAAAUAUUAUAAUAUUUGGGUUUUAAAGUUUAGUGAGUAUUGUUUAGAAAUUAUUAUUUAGAGGGUGAGGUUGAGUUUAUAAAAUUUUAUAAAAUUUCUUAAAACAUUUAUAAAUGAUUUAUGAGAGUUAAUUUUUUUUUAUUUUCAUAAUAAACAUAAGUUAUUUAUUAAAAUUAUUAUCAUUUAAAUGUAAAUUUGAAAAGUAAUAUCAAGGUAAAGUUAGAAUUUCCUCUAAAUUUUUAAUCUAGUGUAUAUAUGAAAACAUGCAUGUGACCUCUUUAAAAAUUGAUUUAUAUGUUACUACUAUAUCAUACAUUAGUUUUUUAUUUUUUUAAUAUCCAUCACAUCUCUAUAUUAUUAUAUGCAAAGUGAUUUUUCACAUUCUACCUGUGAUGUUAAAAGUUAAAGUGAUUAAUAUUGUUUACACUUUUAAUGAAUAGUUAUGGAAAACAUAUUAGGUCAAUUAGUUUUAAUGAAACAUGUGAAAGUACUUUAUCAUACAUACAAUAAGUAAAAGGGGAAUAAGAUCAAUAGCUAGGGUGUCCACGUCAGCAAUUAAAAUCAUCCAAUGGGGUUGGUUCUUUCCUCCACGUCAAACCGAAAUUGGGUUGAUUUUGGGCUGUUAAUUUUUUUCGAUCCGUGAAAAGGUAAGAAGCCCAAAUCUGGGAAAAACUUAUAAUGUCGACAUCUCAUCUCGUCGCUCUUUAGUAACCCUAAAACGGCCAGGCAUGAAUCUCUUCGACAUCUCAUCUCUUCGCCCUUUCCCCUUCUUCUUUUAACUAAGAUGCUUGACCAUUUGCUGUGCCUCUUUGGAUAUCACGAUCUAUUCAAACUCCGAUCAAAGCAAGUGUAUCGGUUUCAGUUUUCACUUUGAUUUCCUUGAAGCCCUAACUAGAAAUCUGACAAUAGAUCCACUGUACAAUCCUCCUUCCAUGGAAACCCUUUCCUGUGUUUGUGCUCAAUUCCAAGAUGGGAGGCCAAUGAGUAUUCUUUGAAGCUUAUUCAGAUGAUGAAGCAUACACUGGCAGAUAGUAUGUCUUCAUGAUGUAUCCCUUUCUUUGGUAUUUUCUUUUGCUUUAUUUUAAAAAUCUUUUGAAUUUCAGUUAUAUAAUCCUUAUUCGUUAUGCUAAUGGUAUUAGGGGAUUUUUUGGAACCAAUGUAUUACAUUUAGCUGACGUGCUUUUGUAAUAUCAACGAGAUUAAGAUUGAAGAAGUAAAGUACAUCAAUCUUACAUUGUCGGCGGUAGCUAUAUUAGUUAAUGUCGGUUUGGUUUUCUUUCUGAUUCGAUCUCAUACAUUAAACUCACAAACAAAAUUAACUUGGUUUGGUUUGUAGUUGGGAAUGGGAUUGAUUAGGUUUUGGACAGUCCAAGGAAGUGGGGACAUCGUUGAUAAAGACAGCAAGAAAUGCGUGUCAACGUGUUCAAGUUCAUUGCAUUUUUCAUAAGAGACUAUAUGCGUAUACAUAUACAAUGUACAUGUUCUUUCUCAAAUAUAUUAUGCAUUUUGGAUCAAAGUAAACGCAUUAUCUACUUUUAUAGAUGUUGCUUGAUUGUCAAUUUCAAACCACCCAAGUAGAUUAGGCGCUUCUGAUAAGCUUUCAGACUCUCUUUGUAUCUUACAGCUAUUGAUGGAAACUCAUUAGUCUUCAUGAUUCUGUUUUUUUGGAAGAUUACAAGCUGAGGAAUCUCAUGAGGAUUUUAAGAUGUUGCGUUGAACUGAUGGAAAAGAUGUUGAUAUAAAAUUUUCUACCAAACAAGCGUGUACAUUUUCAUAUUCGGUAGGUGCUUACUUUUUUGUAUCCUGUUUCAAGUUUCUUUUACGAAAAAAAUAGUGACUUUAAUUUCUUUCCCUAUUAUCAAUUAGAUGUAGAGCAUAGACCCUUUGGAUUGCCCAAAACCGAUAUACAUAAUCCAAGGGAAAGGAAGAGGGAAGGCUCCAACCGUAGAGGAUAUGAGUCGUGAGGAUCAGAAAGAAGUCUGAGGCAGAUCUCAGCGCUAAUUCUUAUCUACUAUCCCAGGGGACAAAGCUUGCUUAUGGUUCUUUUGAUCAAACGGUGCGUAUUUGGACCAUUGAACCUCACACUGAUCUAAUAUCUCUGUCUUACGCUUAAUUAUAAACGUUUGUUUCUUUGUGAUUUUACAACUGCGAAAAUUUAUAUAUGUUUUUGCUAUUAGUGUAGUUUCCAUUGAGUUUUUGAGGCAUAUUGCAUAAAUGUUGGUCUUGAUGACCUUUUAUUAAUCUAACAGAUGACAAAAAAAAAACUAGAAUCACUUUCAGCGUAACAUCAAUGAACUCUCAUAUUAAACAAACCCGUGAUUAUUUAUUCUAUUAUUAAGAAAAGCAAUCUGAUACAAGAUUGAUAGAUUAAUUAUCAUUAUAUUUAAAAAUAAUAUGAGUUUCUCAGCAACUGAUGCAUUUGUUUCAAGUGGUCUCUCUGCAAUAGGUAGCAAGUAUAUCAACAUACGUAUAGUUUGAUGUUCGUUACUUUGUUUUACUUAUCUCUUUUAGUGUUUCUAUACCUGAUUUUGUUUUUUUUACUGAGAUUUUUUGACAAUUUAAGAAUGAAACUGAGAUGUGUGUCUGAUAUAUAUGACAGGGAAACCUGGUUACGAUUAUCAAAGCUUUAUAAGAUUAUGUUCAUAGCAAAGCUUAAGCUUGGAAUCUACUCUGAUGCUGAGUAUAUGUAUAUACACAACUGCCACUCAUUAUUAUGGUUCAUAAGAGAUCAGAGAUCGCUGGUGAUAUAGAUUGGUGCCAGUUUCAUCUUUUGCGACGUAUCUCCUUGAUGUUUGAAUGAUCAUAUUGAUACAUAUAAGCCGAAGGAGGGAACAUACGACUUGGUAGCAACCAGAGAUAUCUCAUUACAGAACAAGUUCCAUACAGAAGGAAUGGAAUCUAUAGAGAUAACUACUCUAGAAGAUGAGAACGAGAUAAAAAUCGUUCUUGCUGAGUCCAAGGAAAGGAAGCCAGCGAGGAAAUGGUGGAGCUACUGAAGCAGUUGCAGCAAGCAACUCAAGAAGCUGAUGAAGCGAGAUCAUCCUGGCCUUGCUUGUGAAAAGCUGCGAAUGUUUUGAGAAGAGGCAAAGGAAGAAAAGGCUCGACCAGGUACAAUUGAGAGCAGUUUAUUUGCAGCUAAGAAGAAAUUGAGGCUGCUAAAGAUUUUUAGAGGUUGGCAUUAGCUGCUGCCAUCAAGGUUUUCGAGAGCGAACAUGCUUUCAAGUAAAACAAUGUUGAUUGUCCGUCAAGCCUAACACUGUCACUAACAGAGUAAUAUGAGCUUAGCAAGUGUACUCAUGAGGCUUAAGAAAAAGCCAACACAAGGGUUGCAGAAAUUCUGAGAUCGAGGUAGCCAAAGAAACAAAGAAAAUAAGCAAAGAGAGGUUGGAAUAAAUAAACAAAGAUAGGGUUUGGGAAAAUGGAGACACUCGCAGAAGCAACUAAGUAGGCUAAGAAGGCUAAAGAAAGAAGUUUGGUGUAGAGCAAGAGGCAAAAAAUGGAGGAAGAACAUGUAGUAAAGAGAAAGAUUGGUGAUAAUUGAGCGAACAUUGAGAAUAUUCAAAGGAAGGUCUUAUGGGACGAAGCUGCUGCAAUGUUUCGGGUACAUUACCGGAAAAAAAACAGUAGCUUAAAAAUUCAAAGGAUACCAAAAUAGAAAUAAAGGAAUAACAAUCAUAAACAAAUUUCGUUAACUUCUUAUCUUUUUUUGCUUAAUGUACAUUUUAAUAUUAAGAAAAAGCUAAUUUUGAGUUCUAUUUUAAAACUUUUACAAUUAUUUAUAUAAAAUUAUAAUAUGCACAUUAUAUAUGAAAUAAGAGUUUAAAUUAAAUUACAUUUUUUGAAAAUAGCCCGGGACCGUCUCUAGUUCACAUAAAAGAAAAAAAGAUAUGCAUCAAUAUUAAAUACAAAAAAAAAACAAAUAGGGCCAUGAUAUUCAUUUAUUCACGGGAAUAUCGAUGAUAAAAUAACCACAAGCUCUCUACGAGCAUUAACCAAUGUAUCAAUCGUGUCCAUCCACGUGUCAACGAUUCACAGCCUCAUCAUCAUCACUCCAUCGGUCUUCUUCUUCAUCAUCCUUGUCCAGUUUUCUGGCGAAAGCAUCUCAACGGUCAAAAAUGCUUCUCAAGAUGGUUUCUUCGUCUUCCGCUGCUCGUGAGUUUCCAUGGCGGAAUCAAGGACGUUUCUCCUGUGGAAAAUCUGAAAAACUCUCCGUCUCUGUAAGCGGCGUCGUUUUCCUUCGCGUAUUCGAAUUUGACGUGCAUACAGUUUGGCCUCUUGUAUGUUCAAGGACAUGUAGAGGAUAGAACAAUGAUGUCGUCAAUAGUUUUGAUGCUCGGAAGUAAAGCAGCAUUGAUUACUCACCCUAAGCAGCAAGGUUAUUGUCUCGGCAGCGGAACUUCUCUUGAUACUCAUUCUUCUAUUUGGAGUAAACGGCAUGACGAUGAAUCUUUCACAUUGAUCCAAAUCACCAUGUCGACUCUCGGUGAUAUGAUAAUAUAUAUUCAUCAUCUGAUACUCCCUCGUUCUGGGUUCGUUAUUUCAAAUUAAUUCACUUUCAGCAAUAUUAUAAACCAUCUCAACACUAGAAACUUCCUCUACCUAAAUAUUAUGUUUUUAUUAUGUUUUUGUAAGGCCAAGAGCUAGAUACCCCGAACAUUAUUCCCAUAACAUUUAGUUUUAAGUCCGUAUAAAGCAAUAAUAUCCAAAAGUACAAGAAACUAACAAAAGCAUCAGUAACGGAAAAUAAAUAAAAGCUGAGGAGAGACAUAAAAAGCUUAUGUUUAGUUGAUGAUGGAUCGAUAAUUACCCAUGUUUCCUCUUUUCAUAACACCGCCAAUAUAUUACAGACAAUGCAAUUAUGCAAAUUAUAGGAAUUGCCCAUCUAUUCACCAAAAAAAAACAUAAUUAGAUAAGCACAGAGGUUGAGAGAAGUUUAGUCAGGACCAGUGGCGGAACCAGACCACACGUCUAGGUGGGUUAAAUUUUCAUUAUUACCAUAUAUUAUAUGGGUCAAUAAGCUAAAUAUUACAAUAUUUUCCGUUUUUUGUACUUAAAUAUAAGUAAGAAAUAUUUCAACAUAAAAUUCAUCAGGGUCAAAUGACCCACGUCCCAAAGAGUUGGCUCCGCCACUGGUCAGGACUUGUUGUUACCUAUCCAAGUCGAGAACAGGACUAUACACAACAGUUUUCCAAGUUCCAACGAUGAAAUGCCAGACUGGGUUGUAUAAAAGAGAUUCUACUGUCCAGAACAUCUUUGUGUAUGUAUCCAAGAAUAUAAAGAGUAUCCAUGCACCGCCAUUCUAAACAAAAUGAACUUUAUAACGCAACCAGCCAGUUGAACAGCCUGUUAUUGUAUUCUUUGAUGAACAAUGACUGUGCCUUCCACAUCAUCUGCCCACAAGCAUAAUUAACCGUUUAAUGUAAAAUUCUCACAUACGUGUUCUUUCCGAAUCUGAUCUCGGUGUGUGCAUAUUAUUACCUUGGUUAACCUCUGCUCAUAGUUUUUUUUCGAUGGACCGACACAUAGUUUUUCAGAACUUUGGUUGCAGUACAUGAAACCUGCAUUUAGCCAUGGAAGGAGUCGGAGAGCUUCUAAGUGGUCCAUGUCGUCUUCACACUUUGUAUAUGCCUCACAGAGCUUUGACGAUUGGUUGUUUUUAUGUAUAUAUCGAGAAAUAUUUUAAAUACAUUAAAAAUGACCAAUUCAACUUUUUUAUCUAUAAAAAAAUCUAAAUUUUUGAAAAAGAGUUUUGGUCAAAUUAGAUACUUUUAUAUCGGAAUUUUAGAAGAUACAUAGCUUAAAUUAGAUAUGUUUCAAUUUUUUAUUCGUCUAUAAAUAUACUUCUCUUUCUUUGUAAUUUUAAAACACCUCUAGCUCAUUAUCUAAGAUGAAAAAUUCUUUUCAACCUUUGCUUAUUGGUCUCUUUAUGAUCACAGUUAUUCUGUUCGGAGUAAUGACGAUUGCUCAAAAAAGAGGACCACCACAUAAAUUUUAUCCUUGUUCAGUCAAAUACCAAUCGAAAAAUGGAGACUGUACUAAGGACGAUUGUAAAGCUGAAUGUACCAGAAAAAAAAAUGGGAUUGGUUCAUGCAUUGGCCCGCCGGGGAGGAGGUGGUGCGCAUGCGUGUAUCAAAAACAGAAAAAUAAUAAGUGUUACCCUAACACUUGAUUUAUUUUAUCUACGUUGGAACUCAAAUAAUAUUUAUAAUAAUACACGCCUUUGUGAGAGGAAAAAUAAUAAUAUUAUUAACUGUUGUUAGUGUUUGUGGCAUAAUAAAUUUUAUUAUGUUACCAAAUAUAAAUAUAAAUAACAAAUAUUAAU